AUUUUUUCAUAGUCCAUAAGCAUGAUGAGUGGGAUUUCAUAUUCAUGUGUGAGGUGCGCCUCCCUCAAACCUCGUUAUGAUGUCAACGCAUUGCCUAUCUGAUG